GCGCGACUGUGGAACCGGCUUCCAGCGGCUGGGACCCCGCGGGCGGCGGAGCCUGAGACAAGUCUUCGGAUUGGAUGCUGUAGCCGCUUUAAAUGUAACUCCUGUUCCGAUUGGCAAAACAUCCUGAAGGCCAAGAACAGUUUUGACAUAUGGGCAAAACUCCAACUCCAGGGGUGUCUCUGCACAUUUAGAUCCAUGGGAUAAACUCUCCACCUUCUUCCUGGACUUUAAUGUUUUGAUUUGAUUGUUACUAGUCUGACUUUCUGGCCAUUCUCUGUCCCUUUCUCUAAUAAAGUCACUCUGAAAGCUGUAA